rnacentral:rRNA from 1 species
UACGAAGGGGGCUAGCGUUGCUCGGAAUCACUGGGCGUAAAGCGCACGUAGGCGGAUCUUUAAGUCAGGGGUGAAAUCCCAAGGCUCAACCUUGGAACUGCCUUUGAUACUGGGGAUCUCGAGUCCGGAAGAGGUUGGUGGAACUCCGAGUGUAGAGGUGAAGUUCGUAGAUAUUCGGAAGAACACCAGUGGCGAAGGCGGCCAACUGGUCCGGCACUGACGCUGAGGUGCGAAAGCGUGGGGAGCAAACAGG